rnacentral:rRNA from 1 species
ACAAGCGGUGGAGCAUGUGGUUAAUUCGAAGCAACGCGAAGAACCUUACCAGGUCUUGACAUCCCCUGACAACCCAAGAGAUUGGGCGUUCCCCUUCGGGGGACAGGGUGACAGGUGGUGCAUGGUUGUCGUCAGCUCGUGUCGUGAGAUGUUGGGUUAAGUCCCGCAACGAGCGCAACCCUCGCCUCUAGUUGCCAGCAUUCGGUUGGGCACUCUAGAGGGGACUGCCGGCGACAAGUCGGAGGAAGGUGGGGAUGACGUCAAAUCAUCAUGCCCCUUAUGACCUGGGCUACACACGUGCUACAAUGGGCGGUACAAAGGGCUGCGAACCCGCGAGGGGGAGCGAAUCCCAAAAAGCCGCUCUCAGUUCGGAUUGCAGGCUGCAACUCGCCUGCAUGAAGCCGGAAUCGCUAGUAAUCGCGGAUCAGCAUGCCGCGGUGAAUACGUUCUCGGGCCUU